UACAGAGGGUGCAAGCGUUAAUCGGAAUUACUGGGCGUAAAGCGCGCGUAGGUGGUUUGUUAAGUUGGAUGUGAAAUCCCCGGGCUCAACCUGGGAACUGCAUUCAAAACUGACAAGCUAGAGUACGGGAGAGGGGGGUAGAAUUCCAGGUGUAGCGGUGAAAUGCGUAGAGAUCUGGAGGAAUACCGAUGGCGAAGGCAGCCCCCUGGCCUGAUACUGACACUGAGGUGCGAAAGCAUGGGGAGCAAACAGGAUUAGAAACCCCGGUAGU
rnacentral:rRNA from 1 species